AGAGUUUGAUCCUGGCUCAGAAUGAACGCUGGCGGCGUGCCUAACACAUGCAAGUCGAGCGAGAAAUCACACUUCGGUGUGAGAGUAGAGCGGCGCACGGGUGAGUAACGCGUGGAUAAUCUACCCAUGGAUUGGGGAUAACCCUGCGAAAGCGGGGCUAAUACCUGAUAGUCUGGUCAUUAUAUAGAUGAUCGGUAAAGGUGGCCUCUGAUACAAGCUACUGUCCGUGGAUGAGUCCGCGUCUCAUUAGCUGGUUGGUGGGGUAAUGGCCUACCAAGGCGACGAUGAGUAGCUGGUCUGAGAGGAUGAUCAGCCACACUGGGACUGGAACACGGCCCAGACUCCUACGGGAGGCAGCAGUGGGGAAUAUUGGGCAAUGGGCGCAAGCCUGACCCAGCAACGCCGUGUGAGGGAAGAAGGUUUUCGGAUCGUAAACCUCUGUCAGAAGGGAAGAAGUGGCAGAUAUUUAAUAUAUAUUUGCUUUGACGGUACCUUCAGAGGAAGCACCGGCUAACUCCGUGCCAGCAGCCGCGGUAAUACGGAGGGUGCAAGCGUUAUUCGGAAUCACUGGGGCGUAAAGCGCGCGUA
rnacentral:rRNA from 1 species